rnacentral:rRNA from 1 species
CGCAUCUGUGCAUGCAGCAUAUCAAUAAGCGGAGGAAAAGAGGGCUAUUACCUACGCUUAGGAUGUUGACACACGCGCGUGCUCGACUCUAUACAUGACUCUGUGCAUAUCAAUAAGCGGAGGAAAAGAAACUAACAAGGAUUCCCUUAGUAACGGCGAGUGAAGCGGGAAGAGCUCAAAUUUGAAAUCUUCAAGGUUUUACCUUGACGAAUUGUAGUUUAAAGAAGUGUUUUCUGUUGAAGUUUUGGUAAAAGUUCUUUGGAAUAGGACAUCAUAGAGGGUGAGAAUCCCGUAUUUGACCAUUAUUUUCAGCUGUGUGAUACACUUUCAAAGAGUCGGAUUGUUUGGGAAUGCAGUCCAAAAUGGGUGGUAAAUUUCAUCUAAAGCUAAAUAUUGGCGAGAGACCGAUAGCGAACAAGUACCGUGAGGGAAAGAUGAAAAGAACUUUGAAAAGAGAGUUAAACAGUACGUGAAAUUGUCAAAAGGGAAGCGUUUGACACCAGUGUUGUUUUUCUGAAAAUCAAUUAAAGAACUGUUUAUGCUAAGUUGUUUAGACUUUAUCAGCUAACUGUUUAGUUUUGAGCUUUUCUUUAAUGCACUUUUCAGUUAACAAGUCAACAUCAAUUUCUUUUGCUGUAAAAAAGCUUGAGGAAGGUGGCUUGAGAUUCGUCUUAAGUGUUUAUAGCCUCUUGCCUAUGCAGUCGGAGAGAUUGAGGUCUGCAGCGUAGAUCCUUCGGGGCUAAAUGCAUUUGUGCUAAGCUACUAGCAUUUUCAUAGACAACUUGUUGACUAUGAUUUAGUCUUGUAAGCUUACCUCGCUUAUGCUAUUUUACCUACGCUUAGGAUGUUGAUAUGCAUGACUGAUAU